rnacentral:rRNA from 1 species
GCUACACAUGCAGUCGAGCGGUAGCACAGAGAGCUUGCUCUCGGGUGACGAGCGGCGGACGGGUGAGUAAUGUCUGGGAAACUGCCUGAUGGAGGGGGAUAACUACUGGAAACGGUAGCUAAUACCGCAUAACGUCGCAAGACCAAAGUGGGGGACCUUCGGGCCUCAUGCCAUCAGAUGUGCCCAGAUGGGAUUAGCUGGUAGGUGGGGUAACGGCUCACCUAGGCGACGAUCCCUAGCUGGUCUGAGAGGAUGACCAGCCACACUGGAACUGAGACACGGUCCAGACUCCUACGGGAGGCAGCAGUGGGGAAUAUUGCACAAUGGGCGCAAGCCUGAUGCAGCCAUGCCGCGUGUGUGAAGAAGGCCUUCGGGUUGUAAAGCACUUUCAGCGGGGAGGAAGGCGGUGAGGUUAAUAACCUCAUCGAUUGACGUUACCCGCAGAAGAAGCACCGGCUAACUCCGUGCCAGCAGCCGCGGUAAUACGGAGGGUGCAAGCGUUAAUCGGAAUUACUGGGCGUAAAGCGCACGCAGGCGGUCUGUCAAGUCGGAUGUGAAAUCCCCGGGCUCAACCUGGGAACUGCAUUCGAAACUGGCAGGCUAGAGUCUUGUAGAGGGGGGUAGAAUUCCAGGUGUAGCGGUGAAAUGCGUAGAGAUCUGGAGGAAUACCGGUGGCGAAGGCGGCCCCCUGGACAAAGACUGACGCUCAGGUGCGAAAGCGUGGGGAGCAAACAGGAUUAGAUACCCUGGUAGUCCACGCUGUAAACGAUGUCGAUUUGGAGGUUGUGCCCUUUGAGGCGUGGCUUCCGGAGCUAACGCGUUAAAUCGACGCCUGGGAGUACGGCCGCAAGGUUAAACUCAAUGAUUGACGGGGCCCGCACAGCGUGGAGCAUGUGUUUAUUCGAUGCACGCGAAGACUUACCUGGUCUGACAUCACAGACUUACAGAGAUGCAUUGUGCUUCGGAACUUGUGAGACAGGGCUGCAUGCUGUCGUCACGCUCUGGUGUGGAAGGUGGUAAGAUCCGCACAGGCAAACUUUCUUUGUGCACGGUUAGCGACUUAGGAUGCCGGUAACACUGGGAAGGGGGGGUAACC